GGGAGGCAGCAGUGGGGAAUAUUGCACAAUGGGCGCAAGCCUGAUGCAGCCAUGCCGCGUGUGUGAAGAAGGCCUUCGGGUUGUAAAGCACUUUCAGCGGGGAGGAAGGCGAUAAGGUUAAUAACCUCAUCGAUUGACGUUACCCGCAGAAGAAGCACCGGCUAACUCCGUGCCAGCAGCCGCGGUAAUACGGAGGGUGCAAGCGUUAAUCGGAAUUACUGGGCGUAAAGCGCACGCAGGC
rnacentral:rRNA from 1 species